rnacentral:tRNA from 1 species
GCCCGGGUGGCGUAAUUGGUAGCCGCACAGCACUUAAGAUGCUGCGCUCAAAAGGCGUGCGAGUUCGAGUCUCGCCCCGGGCA